ensembl:lncRNA
CUUUAUCAAUAUCUUUAUACUGAGUAAUGCACAUCAUUGACCAGGCUUUUUGUUUUGUGUCCUCCAGUCUUCAGUAUUGUACUUUGGAAAGAUAAUAAUCUACACCAGCAAUCUGCGGAUCAUCCGGGCCUAUCAGAGUGAAGGAAGGACAUGGAGACAUCCUCAGCUCCCUGGGGGAAUGGGCGAGUACUCACAGGGAGGCCCAAAGCCCUCUGUGCUCACAGGGAGGGGCAGAGCACCGAUCGACCGGACAAGCAAUAUACUGCAUCCAGCUGCCAGCAUUGUGGAGGUUCGGACUGUCCCCUGCUCUUUGUGCCAUGGCAGCUGUCCAUACUGGCCAACCACUUCAACGAGUCUAUCAGUGUGCUGUGAUGCCAGUCCUGCUACACUGAUGGACUGGAGAGGUGCCAGUCCUGUACCAAAUGACACUAACCACUGGCUGUGUGUGCCAAUGGUACUGCUGCAAUGAGAUAAUAUCACUGUAAUACAAAAUGCUUAUGAUGGGUAUGGGAGCACUGUGUAUGUUUUUGUAAGGAAUCAGAAUUCAAUUUUUGGAAAGGAAGGAUCCUACCAUACAUGCAGCCGGCUGAAUUAUAGAGAACAAUUAGUGUGUGCAGUGAAUAUUGCAUAUGAUAAGACAACAUAUUCACUCUUUUGGUGGUAGCUGGUGCAUCUGAGUCCCUACAAAAAUAACAUGCACCUCCAACUGGUUUCUUCAUGACAACAUGUCAUUUUAAGAAAAAUAUUGUAAAACCAUUGCAUUUUAUUUUAUCCACAAGGCAAGCUGUCCUAUCAUCCCCACAUUGAGAGAAAACUGCUUUUUAUCUCCCAUGUUAAGGGACGGCUGCCCACAGGAGGGAAUACAGGCCAGAGGUAUGGUUGUUUCAAGGAGCAUGGGGGUAAUGGAGUCUGAAACGUUGGAAGUUAUGGGAAAAAAGAUGGACUCCUACCCCCUUUUGUUUCUGUUCAAAUCAAAUGUUAUUUGUCACAUACACAUGGUUAGCAGAUGUUAAUGCGAGUGUAGUGAAAUGCUUGUGCUUCUAGUUCCGACAAUGCAGUAAUAACCAACGAGUAAUCUAACCUAACAAUUUCACAACUACCUUGUGUAGGGAUGUAAAGGGAUGAAGAAUAUGUACAUAAAGAUAUAUGAAUGAGUGAUUUUACAGAACGGCAUAGGCAAGAUGCAGGAGAUGGUAUCGAGUACAGUACAUACAUAUGAGAUGAGUAAUGUAGGGUAUGUAAACAUAUAAAAGUGGCAUUGUUUAAAGUGGCUAGUGAUACAUGUAUUACAAAAAGAUGGCAAGAUGCAGUAGAUGGUAUAGAGUACAGUAUAUACAUAUUAGAUGAGUAAUGUAGGUUUAUGUAAACAUUAUAUUACGUGGCAUUGUUUAAA